ensembl:lncRNA
UGUGAAAGUGAAAUGAUAGUGUGGCCGCCCCCCGGCGCGCGCGCGCCCGGUACAUGUAAUUUUUUUAUGCUUGAUUUUAAACAACUAAACAAAAUGGGGACUUGUUUCUUAUUUGUUAGAUGCUGCAGCCAAAUUUGCAUUUAAAAGUUUAACCUCCUGAAUUUUGUUGUUUUUAAGUUCAGUCGGACUCCGACUGUCGGAGAAACAAACGUUACGGCGAUCUGUGUUGUUACUGCCCUUUGAUCUGCAUUCAGUAAAGUGUUAUUAAAGAAGGCAUGUCAAUUUUUAACCUUUUUUAAAUGUGUAAACAUUAUGUUUAGAUAGUACUGCAAUAAAAAAAGGGGCUGCAAUAAUAUUGCACACAGCAAUAUUAAGCCACCCUGAAUCACCGCAGGGGGAAUUCCUCAACCGCGACAGCCCUACAGUCCGAGCAAUAAACGCGGAAGUUAGAUCCAAACACCCGUUGUGUGAGAGAAGCAUCGAAAUGAACUGUUUAAUCUGCCAUCAUUUGUGUUGAGAGAUCAGCAGUGUUUGGAUCAACAAAGUGUGACUACUUUGAUAGUGGAAACUGUAUUUAUGGCUUAUUUUUGAGCAUUUAAAGUUCAACCGCCAUUGAUAGUUGUUAAAAGUUGUUAAACCUGUGCAAAUGAAACAAAAAACGCUUUUUGUUUAUCGAUUUAUUGUGAAAAACGGAAGUUGUGCUUGCUCCUUUUCCUGUUGGGCGGUUGUGAUUCCUGUCCAUUGACUGCGGAGCAGAGGGCGGCGCACUACGCCGCACUGCCGGAGCAAGGCCGCAGUAGUGGAAUUGCUCUGAUUGACUACAAUGGGACCGAUUUUGCUCCGGAGUUCGUGCCGGAGCGGAGCGGAACGGAGGUGGUGGAAUUUGGGGGUAAGCUAACCCUAACCGAGUUAAAAGGAGCAACCCAGAAGUUAUUUCUUGCACCCCUAAAAAGCCACUGCAUCUUUUAGUUUUACUCUAAUGUCAGCUGAAGAGGACCAGAGGCUAACGUCGUUGAGCUAGCAAUGCUAACAGGAAAUUAGUAGCAAAUAGUUGGAACUAAAAAUAUCUCAAGCUUAAUGACCAACGACUGGAUUUUACAGUGAAAAGUAUGUGUGAAGUGAAUAACCAUUAACAACUAACAACUAUGCUUCCUCUAAUGCUGGAGGCAUAUUACUGCAAUAACUGUAGCAAGUGCUUCCUACCAUUCAACACCCAACAGUGCUUGCACCAGAUAUGACAAUUUAUCUAUCUACUUAUCAACAAGCAGGGCAGACACUGUGCGACCUUUUCACUUUUUUGAUCCGAUUUUCCCCUCGUGUGCGAAUCCACAAGAUCGGGGCAAGUUGUGCGCUGAACGUCGUGUAGUAUACAGGGGGUUCCAAGAGGCGAUUAACACCACGUGAGCUUGCACUGAUUUCUGGUGUGUUUGAUAUUUAGCUCAUCCCUUGUGAGUGCAUCGCACUGUUGACGCGGCGCUGCAAGUGGCCGUGACCCAAAAACUACCAGAACCGCUCAUGGCGCAUGCGCAAAUAUGCAUCAACGCAGGUCACCAGCUAUUUCCCUAUUAACACACGUCGUUCGUUUUUAUUCCCACACUUUUUUUUACGCACACAAUGACAAGAAUUGUCAAGAAAGCGUGUUUAUGUCAAAUUAAACUGAUUACAAAAGAUUGAUUUACUUUCUUUUUCCUCAUCCAACCCCUACAAAGCCCUGUGUCCUCCUCCUACAGCACUACUGAAGGACAACAGACAUUAAUGACACAAAAAAAGUCCAGCUUGUUGUGUAAAAACUGCUAUUUUUAGCAUAUUUUUAGGUCCGACGUGUUGCUACCAGAUAUACAGCGUGAGCAGUCAGGUUGCAUCCGAGAACUGGGUCAUACAGUGUGAUCCCAUGACUUGUGAGAUUUGCUCUGCGAGGUACAGUUUGAGCUAAAGCUGAGUGCUACGAGUGGAAAAGUCACACCAAGCUUUACUUUGUAUGACUCGUCUUCGCUUGCCAUCUGGAAUCUUCGGGUACUGAUCUUUAACUGGCAAGAGCCAUAAAACUCAUGAAACAGGUGUGAUAGAUAUUUUCAUCGUUUAGAAAAAUGGACUGCAGUACACAAUUUGACCACAGAAUGUCAAUGUUUCCUCAUUCUUAGAUAUUGCACCUUUAAACAAACAAAACUCUGUUGAGGAGAGAGGGACAAAUUUCCUCCACAGUGAUGUGACAGACUCAUCAGUCAUCACAAACACUUGGUUGUAGUUGUUGGCACCGAAGGUGUUACAGGUUUAGGGGAGAAUUGCUCUUUCACAUAUUUGAAUAGUUUCAUUCCAUUUUCAAAUGUAAUAAUCACUUAAAAAGUGAGUUAUAUAAUUACUGGGGUUAAUUAUAUGAAAUCUGUUUGCUGGUUGAAAACAUUUAACUAUGAUACUGGUGGGAAAUACUUUUAACAGCAAAGUUUAAAAAAACAGCAUUUGAAAAUCUGGGAAUUACAGCAAUUUUGAUUAAAGUCUUAUUUUUUAAAAAAAGUUAAAAAAUAUGUAUAUUAGCCUCUGGAAGGUGGCUACAUACUGAGUCUGAACAGCCAUCAGCUUGACGUGACCCACCAGAACCUAUCCAAGCCCGACAGAAAUAACUUGUUUUAUGGGUACAGUUUAACACAAACUCAUUUAGCCACACACUAAUCAGCAACACACAUGACUCAAGGGACUCUCCCGCUUCCAUGGCAACAGACGGACAUGGCUAAGAAGUAGUGAGUACUGUUAUGACUCAGGUAAUGAAAGUGAAGGUGUCCUGGGCUGAGAAAACAUCUAGAAAGAACAACAUCCCUCUGCCUCCUAAUCAGUGCCUGGAUUAAAGCUUUCUAGAUGCUUUACUGCAUCCGUUUCAAAUGACUAGCCACUGCUGUCCAAGCUCAGGUAAACAACAAUGAUACAUCACCUCAAACAGAACAAGUUAGUGCUGAAUAUUUUAUAUCCAGUGAGCCAGAAGCAUUCAAUUAUGGGAAACACGUUUUUACAGAAAAAUAUCAUUUUCCUGGAAGGUCCAUGAAGCUGUGGAAAUAUUUUUCAAGUAACAAAAAGACUCCUUGUUUGACAUUUGCUGAAAGACCAAUUUCAGAAGAUCAAUGAAGAAAGAGGAAAAGAAAAAAGCCUUUCUAUCCUCGGUUGUUAGAGGUGUGUUUGAUGGACUUCUGAUGAUCAGGGUAGCACAGGAACAAUGGCUGAAACUGGAGAAAAAGUGAGAUAAAAACCUUUUACCUCUGAGAUAAAAACUUAAAUAAAUUUGUGUCCUCAAGACUUUCAUUUCAGGGAAUGUGUCAAGUUAAGCCUGACAACAAAACAUGUACGGCUAACAUCCUGAUAUUUAAUCAUCAUCUUCUCCAGAAACCAACAAAACCAAUCUCCUGACUUCAGGACUCUGUGCCCUCACCGUUCCCACAAUCCUGAUAUUCUUAAAGCACCAUUUUUUCCUGCGUGCAUUUCUAACAAAACAAGCUUCAACACUCAAUAUUUAACACAUCUGAUUCACAGAUUUAUCUGCCUGAGAUUAUUCAGGCUAGUCAGGGAACAAUUUGUUAACAUGUUUGCUUUUCAGAAGAAUGCUGUAAUUUAUGACAAAUCAUCUUUGAACCCUUGAUUGGCAACUGAAGACUUAGAAACUUCCUCUCUAUUCCUCCAUAAAAUCUGGCUUUCUUUCUCAUACACUGAUUUAAGUAAUCACCAAAAACCUUAUUUACUUUGAAAGUGUGUGUAAAUAAAACAAAUCCCUGUACAAAUAACUGGUUAACUCUUUGGUUCUGGUGCCAAGAGAUGUGAGGCAGCAAUCAAUGUCUUCUGAUGUUUGUUUGCUGUGGCUGAACGAAGGCAGACACACAGGAUGACACACUCUGACACGAUGCAGACAGCUGGCAGACACACCAGUAAUGCCAGUUAGUACAGCGAUGUGACCAACUGGUACAGUUCCCCAUUGCCUGAAAUUAACUUUCUCACAAUCACUGAAUGGUAAAGUUUAGGAACUUUGGCACUAAAAUGGGGCAUUUGUAUUUUAAUUUAGGCUCAAAAUGAUCCGAAAAACUUCAUAAUUGACAGGAAAAAUCAUUAUUGUGAUUAAAGAGGACCUUCACUCUGUUUGUUUUGCAAAGCUGGUGUUUCAUCUCCUCAAAUAAUUCAAGCCUGAAGGAGUUCUGCAAUGUGGUGGAGUUGAUAAUGCUAACAGUUAGCUUCUACUAGUCGAGACUAGGGCUGCAACAAUGAAUCGAUAAAUUCGAUGAAAAUCGAUUACUAAAAGCGUUGGCAACGAAUUGCGUCAUCGAUUCGUUGUGUUGCGCAACUCUUCCAAAAGCCCCCUCCCCUCCCGCCCGCCGUUGCGCGCAGACCGGUGGAGAGCCGGCAGGUGUUUGUAAGAGGAACAUGGCAGAAGCAGCGAGACCCCAAAAA